CCUACGGGAGGCAGCAGUAGGGAAUCUUCCACAAUGGGCGAAAGCCUGAUGGAGCAACGCCGCGUGGGUGAAGAAGGUCUUCGGAUCGUAAAACCCUGUUGUUAGAGAAGAAAGUGCGUGAGAGUAACUGUUCACGUUUCGACGGUAUCUAACCAGAAAGCCACGGCUAACUACGUGCCAGCAGCCGCGGUAAUACGUAGGUGGCAAGCGUUGUCCGGAUUUAUUGGGCGUAAAGGGAACGCAGGCGGUCUUUUAAGUCUGAUGUGAAAGCCUUCGGCUUAACCGGAGUAGUGCAUUGGAAACUGGGAGACUUGAGUGCAGAAGAGGAGAGUGGAACUCCAUGUGUAGCGGUGAAAUGCGUAGAUAUAUGGAAGAACACCAGUGGCGAAAGCGGCUCUCUGGGCUGUAACUGACGCUGAGGUUCGAAAGCGUGGGUAGCAAACAGGAUUAGAUACCCGAGUAGUC
rnacentral:rRNA from 1 species